rnacentral:rRNA from 1 species
GUGGUGCAUGGCUGUCGUCAGCUCGUGUCGUGAGAUGUUGGGUUAAGUCCCGCAACGAGCGCAACCCUCGUUUUUAGUUGCCAGCAUUAAGUUGGGCACUCUAGAGAGACUGCCGGUGACAAACCGGAGGAAGGUGAGGAUGACGUCAAGUCAGCAUGCCCCUUACGUCUUGGGCUACACACGUACUACAAUGCUACGGACAAAGGGCAGCUACACAGCGAUGUGAUGCUAAUCUCAUAAACCGUAGCUCAGUUCAGAUCGCAGGCUGCAACUCGCCUGCGUGAAGGAGGAAUCGCUAGUAAUUGCAGGUCAGCAUACUGCAGUGAAUUCGUUCCCGGGCCUUGUACACACCGCCCGU